rnacentral:rRNA from 1 species
GAAUUGACGGGGGCCCGCACAAGCGGAGGAACAUGUGGUUUAAUUCGAUGAUACGCGAGGAACCUUACCCGGGUUUGAAUUGCUGAUGUCGGUAUUUGGAGACAGAUACUUCCCUUCGGGGCGUCAGUGAAGGUGCUGCAUGGUUGUCGUCAGCUCGUGCCGUGAGGUGUCGGCUUAAGUGCCAUAACGAGCGCAACCCUUGCCGUUAGUUGCCAUCGGGUCAUGCCGGGCACUCUAUUGGGACUGCCAUCGUAAGAUGUGAGGAAGGUGGGGAUGACGUCAAAUCAGCACGGCCCUUAUGUCCGGGGCGACACACGUGUUACAAUGGGGGGUACAGUGGGAAGCUACCUGGCGACAGGUUGCGGAUCCCCAAAUCCUUUCUCAGUUCGGAUCGGAGUCUGUAACUCGACUCCGUGAAGUUGGAUUCGCUAGUAAUCGCGCAUCAGCCAUGGCGCGGUGAAUACGUUCCCGGGCCUUGUACACACCG